CUCCUAGAAGAUAGGAACAAAAGUGACCUUUGUCAUCAGCCAUAACCUAGUAACCAAGGUGCAGCCCUCACCUAUGAUCCUUGAACGAUCAGUGAAGAGUACUGCAGUCAAUAAGGCCAAGGAAAGAGCAAAUAGGUCCUACGUUUGAAAUUCAGCACCUGGUAACUUUCCAGACAGUGCUGCUGUUAAGCCUGGAAUGCUAUGGAGAAAUACAUGCAUGAGAAUCUCCAGUUUACCCAAGAUGAACAUGAAGAGCGAAAAAGAAAUAAUUUCUCUUGUUCAAAGCCCCUAGGAUGUGAUUAAAAAAAAA